rnacentral:rRNA from 1 species
UCCGCGUUGUAGUUUGUAGAGGAUGAUUCGGCGAGGGCUCCCGUCUAAGUCCCCUGGAACGGGGCGUCAUAGAGGGUGAGAAUCCCGUAUGUGAUGGGUUGCCUUAGCCAUGUGAAUCUCCUUCGACGAGUCGAGUUGUUUGGGAAUGCAGCUCUAAAUGGGAGGUAAAUUUCUUCUAAAGCUAAAUACCGGCCAGAGACCGAUAGCGCACAAGUAGAGUGAUCGAAAGAUGAAAAGCACUUUGGAAAGAGAGUUAAAAAGUACGUGAAAUUGUUGAAAGGGAAGCGCUUGCAGUCAGACUUGUCCGCGGUUGCUCAGCCGGUCUCCUGACCGGCGUACUCUUCUGCGGCCAGGCCAGCAUCAGUUCGGGCGGUCGGAUAAAGACCCCGGGAAUGUAGCUCCUCUCGGGGAGUGUUAUAGCCCGGGGUGGAAUGCGGCCAGCCUGGACUGAGGAUCUCGCUUCGGCUAGGAUGCUGGCGUAAUGGCUGUAAGCGGCCCGUCUUGAAACACGGACCAAGGAGUCUAACAUCUAUGCGAGUGUUUGGGUGUCAAACCCAUACGCGUAAUGAAAGUGAACGGAGGUGGGAACCCUCACGGGUGCACCAUCGACCGAUCCUGAUGUCUUCGAUGGAUUUGAGUAAGAGCAUAGCUGUUGGGACCCGAAAGAUGGUGAACUAUGCCUGAAUAGGGUGAAGCCAGAGGAAACUCUGGUGGAGGCUGCAGCGGUUCUGACGUGCAAAUCGAUCG